CAGAAAGACCUUGAGAAAUUUGGGCUGAAGUAGACAAUACUACCGGGCCCUUCAGGGGAAGUGAGCAGGACUUGCAAGGAAAGGGGAGCUGAAGGAUUGUCAAAAGAAGCUCCAUCAGGUCUGAAAGCAUUCUGUUUUCGCUCUGUCCAUAAGGAAGGAAACUUCUUGUGGUCCUGCUGAGUGGUUUUUGGCUUUCAAGUCUCCAUCAAUCUAAAGAAAGUAAGAGUCAAGUGAGAUACAAGAAGCAGUGAAGAGACAUGAAAACUAACAAGAAGUUAGGAGAUGAUGCCUGCACAAAUGAUAAGAGAAUAUGGUGGAAGCUGUAAAAUUGUUAGAAAUCAACUCCAUUCCAUUUACUUGUGUGCCACAAUAUUGCAUGUUUUCUGAAGUCUUUCCUUCAGAAUAACUGAUGUAAAGCAGGAAAGUGGAACAUUGAGAGUGGAGACAUUGAAAUUUGCAAUGAAGUGUAUUGACAUGGUAUAAGGUGUAGUGAUAUUAGUUUGCA